rnacentral:misc_RNA from 1 species
CAUGUUUGCUUCAUAGGUUGCUUUAGGGAGAUACAUGGCUCCCAGAGUUCCGUUGUAAAUAUGGUCGUCUGUGUAUGAUAAAUUUUUCUUUGGUCGUCUGCAAGGUUUUUGGCUUUAGCUGUUCCAGUGCCAGAUCAUUAGGCCGUAUAUGCCAUAAAAUGGACUAAAUAUUAUUCCUAGAUUUCAAGUUGUCCUACAAAGAAGUAAAUGGAAACAGAAUGACCAUGGGAUAAUCCAUUCAAAUUUUUAAGUGAAAUCUGGACUGAACUUGAUCAUGUGUGUGAUUGAAUGUGGAAUACAAACUGGGUCCUGACUGUACCUGAGUAUGAUGAUUCAUGAAUACAGCAAAAUGUUCAUCUUCACAUUUAAACCAUGUAAACUGUCUAAAUGAUGUAAGACAUGGUGAAGGCUAAAAUGAGUCGAUCCAACUCAGACUACAGCUCCAUUGAUGACUUGUCUCUACCAAGAAACCAGUCUACAGGGUCAGGUCUACCAGUGCCUGCCCCUCACACCCUCAGAGAACGCAGCAACAGUGAUUCCAAUCUUAGUCUUAGCAGUCCACAGAGCUGGUCAGCUCUGACUGUGGACCGCCGGGAAUGUAUCCUGGACCACAGUCAUUCUUGCCACAUAGUUGUAUCAUGGGACAUAAGAGAGGAUGUCUCUGCUCAGGACUGGAUUGCCCUUUAUCGUGCAGAGGAAACAGACAGCUCAAAGUUUUUGGAAUGCAAAACAAGAGGAGCCUGUGGGGGACAAACAGGACAAAUCACCUGGGACUUUUCCAAUAUUGUUCAUGUGCUUGACAAGGAUGUUACCCAUGUGUGCUUCAAGUAUUUCAAAGGUUCUUCGGGUGAUGUUGUGGCCACAAGUCCCAUUGUCACUGUCAGAAAGACUUCAGACACUGAUCAGACAUCCAUUUACCUGGACAAAGCAUCUGUUGUCAAGUCUGAUGAAUCACAAGUGCUCUUUAGACUCUGUAUUUCAGAACUGGAAGCAUGCAAUCUGAAAAAGGGUGUAUUUUUUAACCCUGAUCCUUACAUGAAGCUUACAAUCAUUCCCAGCCAAGCACAGCCACCUGAGGGUCACCACUACCGUGAUCUGCGUUCGUCGGUGUGUCCUAGUACCACAAAUCCAGUUUGGGACAAUGAGACAUUCACACUGGAUGCCUAUGUGUCUGACCUAGUGGAGCUUGAAGUCAAGGAUAAAUUCUCUAAAAGCAGGCCCACCAUGAAUCGGUUCCUGGGCAAGGCAGUGGUUGCUGUGCAGCGCAUCAUGGACAAAAUAAUUCAGGAGCAGGGGCCAGCCUACUUUCAUUUGGAUCUUACUCGACGAAAUCCAUCUGAUAAUGUCAGUGGCACGAUCAAAUUCAAAACAGCCAUGGAAAUGCUUUUGAGCAACUCCAUAAAGGGGGAAGAACGAAAGAAGAACCAUCAGCGCAAAACAUCUCUUCCAGCUCAUCUUAAUUUAGUGUCUGGGCAGACUCAUGUUUCUGGACACAGGCACCGGCACACAGAUCCUGGUUUGCCAUCUGCCAGAAAUGUUUCUAGAGACUCUGGAAUCACAGAGGAAGUUCAUGACACAUGUGACACAGCCAUAUCACAGAUGACUAAAAGCAAGGUUCCUAGAAGUGAAGCGGAGCAAGAAACUUUAUCUGUGCAGGACAGCUUUGAUCAGAGCAGUCCAUCUGCAUGUGCUGUACCAAAUAGUGGGAAUGGAAGGACUAAAAUUGCAGCAAAUAAUGGGGCUGGGCCAUCUGGUGUGACUGGCACAGCACUCCAUAACCAGACAGAUAGCUCUGACUCUGGUACAUCCAUGUCCUUGAUUUCUAGUGGUGAUAACUCUGGCGGCUCCAUUCCCCAGGCAGGGCCAGGUUUUACCUCAGCACUUCAGUCUGCAGAAGAGGAAGAGCCAAGGGACAGGGAGGAAGUGCUGAGGUCUGGUGAUGGCCGUCUGUCUGUCAACAAUGGUUGUGAUUCUUUAAAUGGGAUUAUGCAUCGCAGUACCUCUGGAGACAUACAUAGUAGUAUAAACCACAGUGGAGGUUUAGGGCCCAACGGUAGGCAGCAGGAGUCUCAGGUGCAUAGCCAGGUGGCAGCUAUCAUUGGUUUGCCUGGUGGCAGAGAAGGGGGUGCAGCUGUGGUCAGUUCUAUGGGUGGACAGACUGUUGUGAACAGAACAGACCAAGGAGGAGCGUUAAGGGGUUGCACACCAGACCCUCCUAGCCUUCCUCCAAGAACCUACAGGGAACAACCAGCUCCUCCCCUCCCACCACGGCACCAUCGUCGUGAAAAAGAAGCCCCUCCACUGCCUCCCCGCCACAACUCUGAAAAAGUGCAUAGAAAACGGCAGGCAGAACCUGUCCCCAUGGAACGAACCAUGUCACUGGACUUGCCUCCUCCUCCACUGCCACCUCGGACAUACAGCCCUAUUCACAUGGCAAGUGGCAGCCACAGUCCGGGCUCAGCCAUUCCCAGUUCCCAGGUACCAGAUGGGGGCAGUAGUGAGGGCUUUGCUCCAAUCUCUCACUGUGAUAACUCCCAUCAUCAUCACGUCAGUUUUGAGUCCCCAUCCACAAGCAAUGAAAGUGCAAGCACUUCACGAGAAGACGAUUCUAUGGAUGCACUUUCGCGAUCACAGCUGGGCUGCCAGCAUCCCCAGUCACGUCACAGUGUUGCAGAACUAGAAAGAACACGAGGUCGAGAUCCACUCUUAGCCCAGAACUUGGGACUGAUCAAUCAAGCUCGCGAACGUAACUCCCUUCCUGUGUUGACGGAUAAUUCACCCAGCCUUCACUCAGGAGGCAUCACACCACCUGUACGUCCCCAUCCUAGGUUAGUGCGCACAUCUGCCAUGGACCAGUCGCUAGCCCACCGGCCCCAACCACCACUUGUCUCCAGCAUCAGUGAACAGACACCUCCCACAGCGCACGAACACACAGAACUUCAGAGAUUGCGUGGCAGGAGUGUUGAUGCUGUGAGUUCAGAGCAGGGGGGAAUGACUCCGUCCUCAUCGACUGUCAUGCCCCCACGACUACAACCAAGAGUCCGUAUGUCAGAAGAAGAGCGGCAACAGCAGUGGCAGCAGAUCAACCAGCAACUGCAACUGUGGACCAGGCGUCAGAAAAAACGAGUGGAGAGCCCGCAGCUUGAUGCUCAUGGCCAUUCUCCAGGACCUGACAGUGAUGACAUGACAAUGUCAUUCAACGAGUGUGAAUCUUCUCAUCUUGAAGCGCCAACCUUGCCGUCAUCUAUGUCCAGCCCACAUAUCAGUGCACAGUCUGCACAUGGUGCCCACUCGCCAUUAGCAUCAGGCCAGCAGGGCCUUGAUGAUAUGCUUGAUGGCCGAGAGGGAAGGAUGAGGUCCAGCGUAGCCAGCAGCAACAGUCACUCCCGAGACAACGGUACACCCCAUGUGGCAUUGUCGCGGUCGGCUUCCUCAGGACAUGCACACAGUCGCAGCACAGGUGAAGGAGGUUCAGCACCAUUACCCAAGGUGCCUGCUCGUCGUCCUAAGUAUCACCGUGUGGAUGGUACAGAUGAUCCUCUUCCAUCAGGAUGGGAAGCACGUGUAGACAGCCAUGGAAGAAUUUUCUACAUAGAUCAUGUCAAUCGUACCACAACAUGGCAGCGACCAUCACUUGGUACCCAGACAGUCCAGCGAAGGCCAACGUUAAGCUCUGAGCAGCGACAGCAGUUGGACAGGAGGUACCAAAGUAUACGUCGAACUAUCACCCAAAGUCGACAGCCUGAACCAGAACCAGUUCCCACGAUGCAAGAAAAUGCUAAUUCAGGGCCACCGCAAAAGCAAGAAGUUUCACCAAGACAAAGUGAACCAGGGCCAGCACAUCCUAAUGAUCCAGAACGAUCCAUCUAUCGACUCCCAGCAGUUCGCUUUUUGACUCGUCCAGAUUUUUUUCCGAUGCUUCAGGGCAAUGAGGUGGCUAUGGCAGAGUACAACAGAAAUGGUACAUUAAAGCACAUGAUCACCAAAAUUAGGAGAGACCCACGAACAUUUGAAAGGUACCAACACAACAGGGACUUGGUCUCGUUUAUGAACCUCUUCUCAGAUACUUCAAAGGAGUUACCGCCUCGCUGGGAAAUGAAAUAUGAUAGAGCAGGAAAGCCGUUCUUCAUAGACCACACAAUGCGAGCCACCACAUUCAUUGAUCCCCGCCUGCCUGUGGAGGUACCACUUAUCAAUCCAGACUUUCUGCAGACACCUGUGGCACGGGGACCAGGACGAGGUGCAAGAACGGAACCAGCAGUUUCUGAUGCUCCUGUGCCUCCUCCACGCCAGCCAGUGGAGACACCUAGUUCGAUACCUACAGCAUACAAUGAGAAAGUGGUGCUUUUCUUAAGGCAACCUAAUGUUGACGAACUGCUGAAGGAAAAGGUUUGUCAUUAUUCAGCCAAUACUGCAUUGCGAGAGAAGGUACACAAGAUAAUUUCUCGAGGGACUGAAGUUCUGGACCGGCUGUCUAAUGAUAUUGACCUUAUUCUGUUACUAAGUCAGUUUGAAAAUGAGAUAAUGUCCUACGUGCCACCUAGUCCCAACACUCGCCAGACCAUAAGCACACCAUCAGGCAGCACAGAGCAUGCAGUCCAGGAAUCACCACAAGCUGUUCAGAGAGGCCCAGUGCGUGUACCAGCACCAUACAAGCGAGACUUUCAGGCCAAGCUGAGAAAUUUCUACAGAAAACUGGAGUCUAAAGGCUAUGGUCAAGGACCAGGAAAAUUAAAGCUGACUGUCAGGCGGGAUCAUGUUCUAGAAGAUGCUUUUAAUAAAAUCAUGUCUACGCCUAAAAAAGAGCUUCAGAAAAAUAAACUGUACAUCACCUUUGCUGGUGAAGAAGGCCUUGACUACGGUGGCCCUUCCCGGGAGUUCUUCUUCCUGCUGUCACGAGAGCUGUUCAACCCAUACUACGGCUUAUUUGAGUAUUCUGCCAAUGACAGCUACACUGUACAGAUCAGCCCUCUGUCUGCCUUUGUGGAGAAUGCGCAUGAAUGGUUUCGAUUCUCUGGUCGUGUGUUGGGUCUGGCCUUGGUCCAUCAGUAUCUACUUGAUGCCUUCUUUACCCGUCCAUUCUACAAAGCUCUUCUUCGGGUGCCUCUGUCUUUAGAUGAUGUGGAAACUAUAGACACAGAAUUUUACCAGAGUUUGCUGUGGAUCAAAGAGAAUGACAUAUCUGAAGUAGACUUGGACCUCACUUUCUCUGUUAGUGAAGAAGUCUUUGGCCAGGUGACAGAGAGAGAACUGAAACCAAACGGCAAAAACAUUCCAGUGACAGAGCGCAACAAGAAGGACUACCUUGAGCGCAUGGUCAAAUGGAGGUUGGAACGUGGGGUCACGGAACAGACAGACAGUCUUAUUAAGGGAUUCCAUGAAGUGCUUGAUGGUCGACUGGUUUCUAUAUUUGAUGCUCGGGAGCUGGAGCUGGUAAUAGCUGGCACCGUGGAGAUUGACAUUGCAGACUGGCGCAUGAAUACAGACUACAGAUCAGGCUAUCAUGACCAGCACCCUGUGAUUAUUUGGUUCUGGGAGGCUAUUGAAAAGUUUGAUAAUGAACGGCAGCUGCGACUGCUCCAGUUUGUGACAGGCACAUCAAGCAUCCCCUAUGAAGGGUUUUCAGCUUUACGUGGGAGCAAUGGGCCAAGAAAAUUCUGCAUUGAAAAGUGGGGGAAGAUCACCAGCCUUCCACGGUGAGAAAUAAAGAUUGGUGAAACUAAAUGUGGUUUUCUUAUGUGCGCUUAAUUUCAUUUCCCUUUAACCAUGUGAAAUUGUCUUCCCUGAUGUAAGCCACCUUAUGGUCCGCAGUGCUGGCCGACAGUGGGUUACCUCCCCUGACACUUGUAUUCCCACCAGUCUUCACCUGU